UUAACAUUUUUCAAAAUGUUAUAACUGUAGAUAAGAGCACAUCAACCUACAAUGCACACUGUAGCUUGAAGACUUUGUUCCACUGACUCCCUGUUCCCCCGCUAUCUCUUCAAAACUCUCACGCUUCCUAAUGAAUCCAUCGGUUCAAAACAGCACAACUUCUCUUCCUCCUUCUCUCUAACCUUAGAAGCAACCAUUCACAACCACCACCACCCUCUACUGCUACCGUCGGCUUCUCUUUCAUCAACCACGUAACAGAGAUCGAAGCAACCAAAAAUCGUUUGUUCUUGUUCAACCAUCCGUUAUUGCUUUUUAUCUCUACAGUUUUAAAAACAUAUUUCGUUCUGGAUAAAGAUGAACAAGUUCGGGAAAAAGGGUUUUUUACUAUUGGCCUUGCUACUGGUUGUUUGGAAACCAAGGGUUUGUUUCUUUUUUUUUGGUUGUUUUUUCUACAAGCUUUCCAAAGAGGUAGUUCCAAGCCCUUACCAAGGUCUCUCUCUCAUGUGUGUUUUGAUUUUGUGGUUCAUCUCUUAUAUUUCAGGUUUUUCUCAAAUUUGGGCUUACCAAAUGAAAUGCCUAAGAGAAAAUUAUAACAAGAAGCGUAUUUUGAUUCCUUUCAAACACUUCAAGUAACUAUAAGCUUAAUUGUCAAUCUGUUAUUAGAUCUCAAGAAAAUCACUCAUGUUACCCUCCAUGCUCUGCCUUUUUCCCGGUUUUGUGCUCUAUGACUCCACUUCUAUGUGGUUUGAAGGAAAGAAGAUACGAGAGAAACGACAAGGAGAACUUCAAGAGAGGAUGAAAGCCUUUGUGAAAAUCUAGAUGAUGGAUUCGAUCUACGACUCUCAAUGGAGCAACUUGCAGAGUGAAACCCUUCCAAGACGACCAAUUUGAUGGAACUGUAUAGUCUGGAUGUUUUUUUCUUCUCUUCUUUACACCUUUUUUUAUGUUUUAUUUUAUUUUAUUUUCGAGCCCUAAUAUAUAAUCUUCAGAACCACUUUAUAUUUGAUGAAGACGAUGAUGGGAGAUAGGGAUGGAAAGAUUAGAAACAUCUUCCACAAUUUAAGGAGAGGAGGUCAUAGUAAUGAAUCUAUAUCAGACAAUAAAUGUCCACCAAUGUUAAAAAGCUCAUGACAAGUGAGCUUUCCAUGAAUGUAAUCGAUGUUUACCCUCAAAACCAUUUUCUUUUAAAGCUCAAAUUUGGGAAUUGAUGGGAACCGAGACCGUUAAUGUCACUGAUGUUGGUUACUUGGUUCAAAAUUUGUAUUUAUAGUCAAGUUUCAUAAGAUAUGUGCAUUGUCCCAUGCUUAUCAUAUCUAAUUUGAACCGUUACAUAAUAUAUGAAAUAAUGGUGCAGAAACAUUGGUUUAUUUGCUUAAUUUGAAAGGAUACUUGAUGUCA